rnacentral:rRNA from 1 species
UACGGGGGGUGCGAGCGUUGUCCGGAAUCACUGGGCGUAAAGGGCGCGUAGGUGGCCUGAUAAGGGUGUGGUGAAAGUCCGGGGCUCAACCCCCGGAUCUGCCGUGCCGACUGUUGGGCUGGAGUACUGUAGGGGCAGGCGGAAUUCCGGGUGUAGCGGUGGAAUGCGUAGAGAUCCGGAGGAAGACCGGUGGCGAAGGCGGCCUGCUGGGCAGUUACUGACACUGAGGCGCGACAGCGUGGGGAGCAAACAGG